AUUGAACGCUGGCGGCAGGCCUAACACAUGCAAGUCGAACGAGUGGCGGACGGGUGAGUAAUGUCUGGGAAACUGCCUGAUGGCGGGGGAUAACUACUGGAAACGGUAGAUAAUACCGCAUACCAUCGGGUGAGCCCAGAUGGGAUUAGCUAGUAGGUGGGGUAAAGGCUCACCGAGGCGACGAUCCCUAGCUGGUCUGAGAGGAUGACCAGCCAAACGGGAACGGAGACACGCUCCAGACUCCUACGGGAGGCAGCAGUGGGGAAUAUUGCACAAUGGGCGAAAGCCUGAUGCAGCCAUGCCGCGGGUAUGAAGAAGGCCUUCGGGUUGUAAAGUACUUUCAGCGGGGAGGCGUUACCCGCAGAAGAAGCAACGGCUAACUCCGUGCCAGCCGCCGCGGUAAUUC
rnacentral:rRNA from 1 species